rnacentral:lncRNA from 1 species
CCAGUAUAGCAGCAUACCUGCACUACUCUCCUGGCCACUCAGUCCCUAGAAAAGCGUUGAUGGUGUCAGGAUCAUAAUUGAUCAAGUGCCCACGUACAUAGCUCAUGUACCUCCCUGCAGACACUCCUCCUCUCGGCAAGGCAUUAGCAUAAAACUCCUUCACCAACUCAAUACUGGUUGGUGCUGGAUAAGUUGUCAGUCUCUCUCAUCCUUGCCUUUCAAUCUCCAAACCAAACUCUGGAGCCAAGUCCGGAAUGUACAUGGCUUUUCUCUCCAUCAGCAAUCACCUCUCCUGGACUAUAGCAAAAUGUUCCUUAUGCUUCCUUGAAAGGAAAAUUGAAGAAUAGUAUCUUC